GUGAAAAUGAUUUGCGCCCUGGGGGCAGGGACCUUUUACUGCUGACCAAUCAGUUCCAUCUUCCCAAACCACAACAAACUAACUAUUGGCUGGAUUGUUCCAUCAAUCAAAUCUCAAGAAGUAGCUCCCGAUGUGCAAGAGAGGACGAGGUGGUGAGGGAGUAAGAUCACUACAAAGCAGCAUUCUGCCGGACCAACACAGGACACUAGAGACAGUCAAUGCUUAUGAACUAGAUAUUGUAUUUAAAUUGCCCAUUUAUAUCAAAGACACUAACAAAAAUGGUUGGAUUGUUCAGCAACGCGGCAGCGAAUGAUAACACGGCUUUGAUAGUGAAACGUACAUCAUGUUGAAGCACAUCACUAACAUCCAGACUGAUCUAAAGAACUUGGGAACCUCCCAGCAGCCACCAGGAAAAUCAUCUUGUACUUGGAGUUUAUUCACAAGGUUUGUCAGAUGAUUUCCAGGAGCCUGGUGGAGAUGGCCAUAAUCCAAGACAGGACAUUUCCCAGCAUCCAGGUUGAGGCCUGCUACCAGCAGGAACAUGGAGUACUCCCAUGUCAUUUUACAUGAACCCCUUUUCAAACCUUGUUCAAGGGGCUUGGACAGAUGGCUCACCGCUUUGCAUCAUCACAGGUUGCUACUGGCAACCUACCUGCAAUAACCAAGAUUCUAUGAAACCUGUGCAGUCCUGGUCUGACGUUUCAACAGAUGCCCGGGGUGACUGAGUGUGGGACGUACCAUUUUAGAAAGAAGGGUUGCAUCGAUGUGUCGUACUAUUGGCCUUCCUUAGGGAUGGAGAAAGAAGAUGUCAACACACGUGUCAACAACAUGACAGACUUGGUGUCUUUUUGUCCUUUUGAGUUUAAUCGUCUUAAUGGUGCCUUCUGACAAGGAGAGACUUAGCCCAGUUAGCACCUGAGCCAGACUUCCUGACAGACAUGCUACUAUCCUCAAACCCAUCUGUCAGAUGGCACCAUUACAAUGAAACUAUACUGCUAGAGAAAUUCAAUGGCAGUAAUUUCAUUUACUGUUGUAAAUUGAGUGAAUUGAUACGUAAGAAAAGGUUCAAUGAAAAUGCAUGACGUUAUUGUGAUAAUAGCGGCAGAGGUUAGUUUUGACUUGAAGUGACGUGACCAGGGAAAACUCUGGGCCCUUUGUCAUAGCGUAAAACUGCAUCCUGGAGUUGUUUUAUUUGGUCAGGUUACAUGGUCAGGGGAAUCGUGUCCCUAUGAUUACAGAGAUGCCACAGUGUUAAAUAAGGUAAUGUACUUUACUCUUGGAUGACAGAGCUUCUCUGUUUUUAAUGCCAUUUAAACCACACUCAUAGUAUUCAUUGAGACAUGUCCUCUGCCUAAUCCGAAAACUGAUCUGCUCCGUUCUGCUUGCCUGUGUAACAGUUGGCCAUCCACACCGCAGCCAUUACAAGCAUUUAGCUAUUAUUCCCUGCGGAAAAUGUGACUUUCAGUCCUCAUCCAAUAGCAUUAAAAAUCAUUGUAUCUGCUUUGAUAUGGCUGAUUAA